GACGUAGGGCGCGAGCGUUGUCCGGAUUUAUUGGGCGUAAAGAGCUCGUAGGCGGCUUGUCGCGUCGUCUGUGAAAUCCCGUGGCUCAACUGCGGGCUGGCAGUCGAUACGGGCAGGCUGGAGUUCGGUGGGGGAGACUGGAAUUCCUGGUGUAGCGGUGAAAUGCGCAGAUAUCAGGAGGAACACCGGUGGCGAAGGCGGGUCUCUGGGCCGAUACUGACGCUGAGGAGCGAAAGCGUGGGGAGCGAACAGG
rnacentral:rRNA from 1 species